UUGGCAAGUAUGGAGCCACAGUCCAGUACAAUGAAAAGGUUCUAGAUCCGUCCUUCAGGAGCGCCCGCAGCACGUGGUGAAUGUGCUUACUGCCAAUGGCCGAACAGGGCUCAAGAGGCACAUUUUACCGCAUCAGAAGGAAGGUGGUGCCACGGAAGACACUGAGACCCUCGUCCACCCUGAGGUGGCACCAGAGGAAUCUAUGCAGCGAGCACGGACUGAGGAGCCCUUGUCUCUUGGUUUUUCUCUGGUUUGCCUUUCGCAGUCGCUGCCUCUAGAGAGUCAAGUUCUUGUGCCUUCGGCCUUUCCCCUCUCCUAGAAUUGUACUGCUCUUUGUAGCCGUCAUUCCUUCCCCUAGCCCAUGUGCUGCACUUUUAGUAAACUAUUUUUCUCCUGUUAA